ACCAGUGUGGCAUAGUGGUUAAGGAGUAGGACUCUUAAACAAAAGGUUGCUGGUUCAAUUCCCAGCUGUGGUG